rnacentral:rRNA from 1 species
AUGAUGACCUGGCCCUCGACUACAUCUCGCGCAUGCUCAUGGAGGAGGACAUCGUUGACAAGUUCAUAUACCAGUACCCUGACCCCGCCGCGCUGCUGCAGGCCCAGCAUCCCUUCGCACAGAUCCUCACCACCACCUCAUCCGACAUGCUCACCUCAGCCUUGCCAAUCAGACAUAUCCAGAACCCAGCCUUCUUUUUGA